UCCACUGCAGGCCCUGAAAAGAAAGCACCCUAAUACUCCUGAAAUUAUGGACACUGAAACUGACACAAAUUCAGACCAAGAGGACAUCCCUGAACUGGUUAUAAAAAGAAAGCACGCUUGAUACC